rnacentral:lncRNA from 1 species
CUUCGGGUGGAUUAACAGAGUUAAAAAAAAAAUAGUGCUUUUUGUGGAGAAAAAAAGUUUUUAAUGACUAUAAGUCUAUAUAACAUCAACCUGCAAAAUGUCCAUGGUUGGAACUUUAUUUUAACCAACAGAUGCCACACUGUUUCUAUUUUAAGGUUGGGUAGACUCCUGCCCCUUGCCAAUCAGCCUUGUCUUCUUGUCUUUUUGCAACAUCUGUCAGUUACUCAUCCAUGGAUGGUGAGCGGAAUUGGAUCAGUGAACUUCCACUGUCCCCGGCAGACAUUACUUCAUCCAGGAACACUGGGUCCUAUCAGAUGGACACAGAAGGAUGAUGCAUCGUUGGCCUAAAGAAAAGGGAAUCUGGUUCAACUCCUUAGAACUGCCAACUUUGGCUCAGAGCCAGAGCCUCAGGACAACUUGGUACAGGUACUUAUUCAUUACGUUCUUUUUUUUUUUUUUUUUUGGCCUUCGAAGAGAUAUCAUCAAAGUCUGGGGAGGCAGCCACAUAAUUUCUUUCUUUCUCAUUACUGCUAUGGCAUCUCAGAUUUCUUUGCUAUUCUAGACCAACAGCACUGAUGAUGUGUCCAUAGCUCCCAUCUAGAAGUUUUUCUACAUAGCAGGCUGAAAGAAAAGAUAAAGGUGGUUCUGCUAUCGGAGAGUAUGGUAGGGAAAAGGAGCUAAUAUGGCUUCCCCAGGACUUGGACUUCUCUAGGACUUUCAUGGAGUUCUUUGGGAUGGUGACCAACAAGGCUGGCAGCCUCGUGGGAGUAUAUCACGAGAGUCUAGAAGUAGCCAGUAUGAAAGCUUCUGUCUCUUCUAAGGUCACUGGAGCAGAUUAAGAUCUCUAAUUCAGCAUGACUUGACUCUGUUGCUCAAGAUGCAAGUCUCAUUCACUUCCUGCUUCUUUCUUCUAAUCAGCCAGCACAAUUAGGAUGGGGUUUCUGACCUCAAAUAUGUCACAGUUCCACUGCACAGGUCAGUUUUCUUAAAGACUCUUCCCCUGUUUCCCAGUACACAACUUGACAGUCCUUUCUGUCCCUACAUUUUGGUCUUGGCGCUUGUGGCUGCCAUUCCCACCAUCCUGAUGAGAUGAAAGGCGGGUGCCUCUGUGUGUGUGUGUGCACACGCACGUGAACAUACACCCAUGAGGAGUCGGCCUUUCUUUUUUGUAUGGUCCACUCAUGCACCAAAGUAGCAAACUAUGCUGUAGUUGUGCAAGAAUAGCUCCAUUUGUCAUUGGGGAACUCUAGGGUAAAGCCACAAAAUGUGCUCCUCCACCUGUUGGCCCUCAAAGGGAAGGAUGCAAAUUCUUGUGUAUUUUUGGUUUCCCUUCAUGAUAGGAGAGGUAAAGAGCCGGACAGGAAUGCAUUUUGCUGCUAUGUUGUCCUCUUUUUUUUUUUUUUUUUUUUUUUUUUUCAGAAUUGCCAAAUUCUCAAUAAAAAAUUAAAUUCUGAGCCACAGGAAAGAGCUAGCUUUAGAACUCAGGUUUCAAAACUGAAGACCCAGUACUCAAGACCCUGUAAAUCAAACUAUAGUCUUUUAUGGUUGAUGCACAUGCUUGGAGGGAGAAGGAAUAAGAAUUAAAGCAUAGUGAAGAGAGAUUAGCGUGAAUGCAGAGUCAUAGCUUCCUCUCUGCAGUGAAGCCAUGUGUUUCCUGAAUUAAUAGAGAUAUUAUUUAGUUAACAUGUGAAGAAGACAAAGACUACUUUGUGAUGUCUUUUUCUUACAAUUUUCUGUGUUUUUAGAAUCUGAAUUGAUUUCUCGCUAUAGAAUUAAUUCAGUAAAAUUUUGUAACAGACUUCAAGGAGGGGCAGUUACGACACAGAAAGUUGCACGUUAACUAAGUAGUCUUCUGAAAUAGUACAGCAGCGUCAAUGAAAGAGACUCUCUCACGUUGGUUUCACUACUUAAAGGUAAUCUCACAGCACAUUAAUCAAUAUCUUGCUGCCCGCUUUACCAUAUAAUCCAGGGAUAUUAAAGAUAUAGUUUACCAUAUAGGCCUGAUUAAUUGAAGAAAAAUAUAGCUUCUUAUUGCUGACAUUAUGAGGUUAGAAAUAGCAUCCUAUGCUAAUCUGCAAUGCCAAGAAAUGAAGAUGGUUUAAAUCAGAUCUCAUGACUAAUGCAUGAGAUCCAAAGUUCUUUUAUUCCUGGCUAUUUUAGAAAACUGGGGUGUAUUUUUACCCUAAAAACUAAUUCUAUAAGAUUUACUGAGAUAAUACAAAAUGCCUUAUUAUUAAUAGCCCACAAUCAAGAUUUUGUACUACCCUUGAUCACAGAAAUGCUGUUUCUCCAUUUAAAAUUUUUUUUUAAUUAUGUGUAUACGAUUAGGUAAGUCCAGGUUCAAGGAUAUUAUAUUUGAUCCUUAGUUUUGUUUUGUUUUUAAUAUUCAGUAACUGGAAAGAUAAAGGAAAGUUGAGAUUGCUUUCUAUGGUAGUUAUUCAAUUUUAAUUGUACUUACUGUGCUUUCAUUUACGCAGAAAGAAAUAUAUCUAGCAAUAAGGUAAGCCUGUUAUUUUUGCUUGUUUUUGUUUUGGUCAUGACAAACUGUGAAAUGCUGUGUUUUUCCUAUAGUUCUAGUCCAUGAAAUCUGCAAUCUUUCCACUUGAUUUACGAAGGACCCUUAAUUACUGCUGUCAUUAGCACCUAGCGUUCAAAACAGUCUGUUAAAAUGUACUGUAAGUCUCACCUCCAAGUCCCUGCUUGCUUUAUCUUAAUUUUUUUUUCCUUUCCAGGGCUAAGUAAAACAAUAAUUGCCUCAAUGACAACAAUCAUGAACAGCGAACCGCAUCACAAACCCCCAAGUUGUCUGGGGUUGCCUGUUUCUUUUUGUUCAGAAUCAGGCACUGGUGUGUUCAGACCGGCUCGGGGAGGAGGGGUGGUGUGUGUGUGUGUGUGUGUGUGUGUGUGUGUGUUGGGGUGGGGGGGAGUUUGAACAAGUGUCCAUACGCAGGAGCCCUCCGGCUGGCUGGCGAAGGACUCUAACUACCUUGGACUCCAGUCGCUCUGUGUCUGCCCUUGUGUUGCCACUCGGGGUAGGGACGACACGCAGCUGCUGCGAGGCCCCGCUGCUGCCGCCGCUGCUGCCGCCUGGCCG